rnacentral:rRNA from 1 species
UACAGAGGUCUCAAGCGUUGUUCGGAUUCAUUGGGCGUAAAGGGUGCGUAGGCGGCGCGGUAAGUCGGGUGUGAAAUCUCGGAGCUUAACUCCGAAACUGCAUUCGAUACUGCCGUGCUUGAGGACUGGAGAGGAGACUGGAAUUUACGGUGUAGCGGUGAAAUGCGUAGAUAUCUGGAGGAACACCGGUGGCGAAGGCGACGUCCUGGACCGGCAUUGACGCUGAGGAGCGAAAGCCAGGGGAGCAAACGGG